GUCAGGAAAACCAACAGCACAGAAGACAGGUCCAAAAAGAACCAACCAGGAGGCUGACCGUGGAGGAAACGGGCAACUUAAAGAAGAGUGUAGUCCAAAACUAGUUACCAUCUGCAGGGAUCUGAGGCAUCUUAAAAGCAGGAAGAGGUGGGAAAGGGACAAAAAAACAACAACAAAGCAGUUGGCCCAGGAAUUUCAGGAUGUAAGAAAAACAAAGGGCCAGAAGUAUUAAAGGGAGAGAAAACUAGAGCUCCAUCAACUGUGUGAUUAGGAAAAGACCAGACAUCCUCCCACAUCCCUUCCCAGUCUGAGACUAUAGACGUGUACUACCACGCCUGAGUGAACACUUACUUAAUUAAGUCCGUGAGUCCUUAAGACUGAAAAACCUCACUGGAUAGGAUUAGGAAAAAAUAAACUCCCCGUGUCCCUCAACCUGGUCUGCUCGCUUCUAUUCUCCACAGGCCUGUCCAUCACUAGCAUGCUGCACACUUUUCUUAUGCAUUACACAUAUCGGCUAUGCCCUGUCUCCCCCUACGAUUCUGCCAGCUCCAGGAAAACAGGAACUGCUGCCUGACUUAUUCACUAACAAACAUCUUUUUGUGCCUAGACUCAAAAAAUGCCAACAAAGAUUUAUUGAAUUAAAUUAAACCUGGGUGCAGAGAGCAAUGUCUUAUAACUCCAGUUAUAAGAAGAAAAUCAUGAAAACUUUGGUGUUUCCUUCAAGAGAAUGGAAAGCAGAGCUAUCACCGAACACAGAGAGCUUUAGGUCCUAGCAAACAGAGUCAGCAAGUUAGAGGACAUUGGUCCCAGAAUAAUGAACUCUGCCAAAACAGCUACUGUCAAGUGCUAAAGAGUACAUUUCCAAACAUGCUAUAACCCAGGAUAUUUACUAUCCAUACUCCCUAGGUAGGAAAAUGAAUCAACAAUACUGUUCAGUAAAAAUCAAAGGCGGUCCAAGAAAGAAGACAACAUGGAAACAAGAAACUGAAAUUCCAAGGAUUGAAGGAAGCCAGAACUUAAGGGACACUCAGAGAAUCUGCUUAGAGCAGCACAAUGUAAUGACAUGACUUUUCACAUUUAUAAAUGUCCUCUGGCUCUGCUCACACUGCGUCUGUUCCCCACGCUCCCCACAGAGGCAGUGGCCCUCCCCCUCACAGACAGCCUUUCCUGGAUGGCUGAACUGCAGAACUUCAUGAUGUUGAUUAAAGUGGUGGCCGAGAAUGGCUUACCUACAAAAAUAAGACUUUAACUGUGAAAUCAACAAACAGCCGGGUAACAAAGAUAGAGGCACGGCAAAUGCUUCCAAAUGGGAGUUCACCAUAUCCUUGAUCCUCGUGUAGGUCAGCCUGGCCUAUAGUCAGGAAGUAGAAAGGAGAAGUGAGAAAGAGAACACAGCCGGAGAUGAGCAAACUACCCCACUCAGUGCUGGAGAGCUGAGUGAACUCUACCCUAGUUGUCAGAUUUAACGCAAUGUCCCCAAAGGACUUUUCUGCAUUGACUGGACACUUCCUGUACCAGGCAUUAUGGGUAAGUUACCAACUCAUUUACAGUCUACAAGGGAGUUAGACAUAUCACUCAUCACAAUCACAGUUGGGAUGGGAAAACUUAAUAACGAGAGCGUGGGCCCCACAGCAAGGGAAGUAUGACGGGCGUGAUAUCUUUCUGACCUGCCGCUAGGUUCAUGGCUGAGACACCUAAAGCAAAAGACAAAUGAUCAAGAGAAAAUCAUAUAAGGGGACUUAUAACUUUUCUGCAAUACCACAGCCUUCAGAAAUGAAGACUUGAAGGACCCCGGAAGCCUGUGUUUAUUUAUGUGCUAUUUGAUGAGAAGUGUCUAUCACGGGAAAAUAAAGCUGAACAAGGGCAGCCAUCACAGAUGAGGAUGGCGCCAGAGCAGUUUGUUCAGGUUUUGCUUGGCGUCUCUGGGUCUUCGGGGAUAAGGAGAUCCCUGUCCACAUGGUCACUUCUAGAAUGAACACUUUGCGACCUGGUUCACGG
rnacentral:lncRNA from 1 species